GACGAACGCUGGCGGCGUGCCUAAUACAUGCAAGUCGAGCGGACUUUCAAGAAGCUUGCUUUUUGAAAGUUAGCGGCGGACGGGUGAGUAACACGUGGGCAACCUGCCUGCAAGACGGGGAUAACUCCGGGAAACCGGGGCUAAUACCGGAUAAUAUCUUCCUUCGCAUGAAGGAAGGUUGAAAGGCGGCGCAAGCUGCCGCUUGCAGAUGGGCCCGCGGCGCAUUAGCUAGUGGGGGAGGUAACGGCUCACCAAGGCGACGAUGCGUAGCCGACCUGAGAGGGUGAUCGGCCACACUGGGACUGAGACACGGCCCAGACUCCUACGGGAGGCAGCAGUAGGGAAUCUUCCGCAAUGGACGAAAGUCUGACGGAGCAACGCCGCGUGAGCGAAGAAGGUCUUCGUAUCGUAAAGCUCUGUUGUCAGGGAAGAACAAGUACCGUUCGAACAGGGCGGUACCUUGACGGUACCUGACCAGAAAGCCACGGCUAACUACGUG
rnacentral:rRNA from 1 species